GACGAACGCUGGCGGCGUGCUUAACACAUGCAAGUCGAACGGAAAGGCCCUGCUUUUGUAGGGUGCUCGAGUGGCGAACGGGUGAGUAACACGUGAGUAACCUGCCCUUGACUUUGGGAUAACUUCAGGAAACUUGGGCUAAUACCGGAUAUGAUCUCCUUCUGCAUGGUGGGGGUUGGAAAGUUUCGGCGGUUGGGGAUGGACUCGCGGCUUAUCAGCUUGUUGGUGGGGUAGUGGCUUACCAAGGCUUUGACGGGUAGCCGGCCUGAGAGGGUGACCGGCCACAUUGGGACUGAGAUACGGCACAGAAUCCUACGGGAGGCAGCAGUGGGGAAUAUUGCACAAUGGGCGGAAGCCUGAUGCAGCAACGCCGCGUGCGGGAUGACGGCCUUCGGGUUGUAAACCGAUUUCGAAUGUGACGAAGCGUGAGUGACGGUAAUGGGUAAAGAAGCAACGGCUAACUACGUG
rnacentral:rRNA from 1 species